AGGCCAUGCUCCAAAACUAGAGUUAGGGCUUUCUAGUAAACAAAGUUUAAAAAAACGUUACCUAAAGUAAAACUGAAAAAUAUUGCCUAAGAUAAGAAAAAAGAAAAACCCAGUAAAACUGAAAAAUAUUGCCUAAGAUAAGAAAAAAGAAAAACCCAGCCUUAUGAGUUGUCGACUUCUAGAUAGUUCUUUGGAAAAAUAUCUGCAUCCCAAACGACUAGCUCUUGGAGAAACAAACAGUCAUAGAAAUCUAAAAAAAAAUUCUCCUACUCUCUCAUUUGCUCGAGAUGGUGUUGACUCAGUGGUGGCCUUCAUCUCCAUCCCCUAUCAAUUUCCGAAUCGGUGAGAUCUUGAGUAACACACUCAUGAACAGAGUAUGCAUUCACCCUCAUUUUUAGCCCUUCAGAUGCCAGAUUAUGUGCUGUUCUUUUUGCAUGCUGGAAUUUGCAUCCAUAAUAAUUCGCCUUCUGCUCUUGAAUAUCAUCAAUAUAAAGGCCGAUUAUCGAUUUAUCUUCUUUUUUUUUUGUGUUCCCUUUUUUUAUAACUGUCAGAAAGUCGCCUUCGAAAAUAACAUAUUUUUAUCCCCAGUUCUUUUCCCACCAUAACCGCCUGCAAACAUGCUAAGGCUUCUGCUGCAAAUCCUGAAGAAAUGUUGUCAUGGAUGACCAAUUUUGAAACCAAUACAUCACCUUUAAAGUUCUUAACUAUUACCCCUGAACAAGAUAUAUUUUUCCCCUUAUAUCGAAAUUGAUUUUGAGGAACUUACUUUCCGGCGCCUUCUAUGAAUCUGAAUCUAAGCAUUUGGCAUGGUGUUUUCUUUCCAUAUCUUGUAAUUCCUGAAAAUACUGUAUUACAAACUGCGCUGUUUCUGUUCCAGAUCUCUUAUGACCUCCGUGUACCCAUUGAUUCCUAUUCGCCCAGAUAGCCCAAAUGGCGCAGACAAAGAUGCAGCAUUCCUUCUCUUUACUGUGCAACAAUACCCAGGUAAACCACUCCAUAAAGUCCAUAUGCGAUAAUUCGAGUGACCAUACAUAAUUUAAUUUUUUCCACAUUUCCUUCGCAGCAGCACAGUUGCGAAAUAUAUGUUCCCUAGUUUCCAGCCCUUGCUUACAUCUUGGGCAGAUGGCGUUAUUUAUUAAUCUUUUGAUUCUUAAAUUUACCAGGGUAGGGAGGUAGUUGAGAAUGGUAUUCCAAGCUGUAAUACGUACCUUUGAGGGGAGAUUACAAUUCCACAGUUUCUUGUAACAUUUUGUAAUUACAGGCAAACUGUAACCAUUACUGUUGUAAUCAUUGCCUUGUAAUAAUAGUUUGUAACCACUGCGCACAGUAUAUUGGCCUGAUGCUUCUCCCCUCCAUAUCAAAAGAUCAUUAUGUGAACGCUGGGCCAAAGGGAUUUGCAAAAUCUUUGGAACAUCAACUUUCGCAAAGGUACUCCAAAUCAGCUCUGUUUUCCAUGCUCUGGUAUUACUGUCAAUAAAAUCUGCAACCAUUGUAAUGUUCUGCAUUCUGUCCUUUUUGUUAAUCAGUAGACCUGGCACAUUUGGGACCCAAACAUCUUCUUCUAUACGAAUGUCAUGUCUAUUCCCCACCCUCCAGCACAAUCCCAAUAGUAAGAGGCCCUUUGCUGCCCAUAUGCUUUUCCAGGUAUAGAAAGGUAAAUUACCUAAACCUAAAUUUAAAAAAUCAGUAUUCGAAUAAUAUUUAGCUUUUAACAUUCUAGCCAAAAGGGAAUUAGGAUCGUCAAUUAAUCUCCAGCCUUGUUUUGUGAGAAGGGCCAAAUUAAAUUUUGCUAAAUUGCGGAACUCUUUUAACUCGCAUAAUUUGCUCUAUGAACACCAGUGAAUACCUCGUUUCCCAUAACCUUUCUGCCACCAAAAGUUUGCAAUGAUUUGUUCCAUUUCUUCACAUGUUGAUUUCGGCAAAAGAAAACAUGCCAUUGUGUACGUGGGAAUUGCCUGUAAAACAGCUUUGAUGAACACUUCUUUUCCACCUUGCGAUAAUAAUCUUGUGCUCCAACUGUCUAUCUUUAACUUUAAGCGAUCCUUCAAAUGUUGGAAUGCCAAACGCUUCUUCCUUCCCACCAUAUUCGGUAGGACUAGGUAUUUCUCAAAAUUGUUUAACCUUUUAACUUCUAGCUGAUUCGAUAUGGUAGACCAGACAUUUUCAGUAGUAUUUAAGCUAAAAUACACAGUUGACUUACUAUAGUUAAUAAAUUGUCCAGAAUAGAUUUCGUAUUCCUUGAGCACUUUUUCAAACGUUGCAGUACCUUUGUCGGUCGCUUCUCCAAAUAAAACACAAUCAUAAGCAAAAAGGGGAUGGGAAAUUUAAGAUCUCCUUCUACUUGCCUUAAUCCCUUUCAAUACUCCUUCCUCUGUUGCAAGCCUUAAAAGUGUUGACAGCCCUUUCACUGCAUAUAAGAAAUAGAAAGGGACUUAAAGGGUCCUCUUUCCUUAGGCCUCUUCCUAGAGUAAAAACCAUUCCUGACACACCAUUUAAAACCACCGAAUACGAUACUAUGCUAAUACAAUGCAUUAUGCGCUCCAUCCACCUCACAUCAAAACCCAUUGUGAACAUCAUUUUUUCUAAAAACUCCCAUUCCACCCAAUCAUAUGCUUUACUCAUAUCAAUCUUAAGUGCCAUAAGACCUUUUUUCCCCACCCUUUUAUUUCUCAUAGUGUGAAGAAUUUCGUAGGCGAGAAGUACGUUGUCAGAAAUUAGUCUUCCCAGAACAAACGCACUUUGAGUAGAGUCAAUACAAAGAUCAAUAGCUUUUUGAAGUCUAUUUGCGAUAGAUUUUGAUAUGAUUUUAUAAAACACCAAGCAUAGACUAAUAGGUCUAAAAUUGGUGGGAUUUCUUGGGUGAGACAUUUUUGGAAGUAACACUAUAUUCGUAUGAUUCAACAGUUUUAAGGAUUUACCUUUAUUAAGUACUUCCAAGCAAAAAUUGCUGACUUCCCUCCCCACUAUGUGCCAGUAUUUUUGAAAGAAAAUUGCUGGGAAACCGUCUGGUCCGGAGGCUUUUGUUGGCCCGAUACUGUUGAUUGCUUCGACGACUUCUUCCUCUUUGUAUUCCUCUAUUAGUAGUUGAUUUAUGUCUGCUCCAAUACACCUUUCAACCCUCGAAAGAAAACAGUUUGUAUCGCCAACUCCACUUGAUUAGAAUAAUCCCAUGAAAUAAUCUCUUAUGAUGCUUUCCAUAUCUGUAUCCUCUGUUUUUAGAUCUCCUUCCAUCUUUUCCAGUCCCCGAAUCUUGUUUAUCCUAUGUCCUUGAGUUGCUUUGCUGUGGGAAAAAGCCGUAUUUUUAUCCCAUUGACGCAACCAAUUUGCUCUAGCCCUUUGUUCCCAAUACGAUUCUUCCUUCUCCAUCUCCCAAUUCAAUUCCAAUUUUACAUUUAUCAUCUCAGCUAAAUUAUCAUCAUCCCUAUUCAUACCUUCUAAUUCAGCCAAUCUUUUCCGUAAAGCCUUCGAUCUUUUAUCAUGCUCUCCUUUGAUCAUCUUCCCCCAUCUUUGUAGAUUAACUCGAAGAUAUUCUAAUUUUUCCAGCACUUCUCCUGACUUUUCAGUCCACCAUUUCUUGAUGACAUUUUCACAAGACGGUUCUAGUAUCCACCAAGAUUCAAAUUUAAACCUCUUCUUUCCAGCUGGAUAUUCGUUGAGCUCUGUUUGUAUAAAAAGUAGACAGUGAUCAGAAAAAGAGUGAGGAAGAUGGGUAAUCGAGAAAUCGUGAAACAGGUUUAACCAUUCACUAUUCGCCACACUCCUAUCAAGUCUUUCUCUAACAUUUGUGCUCUCAAAAUUUCCCCUUUCCCAAGUAAAAUUUUUCCUUUUGAAAUCCAUAUCAACCAAUUCACAGUCUGUCAGAGCUUUCCUAAAUUCCUCCAUUUGUCGUCCAUCUCUUGCUGCUCCCCCUUUUUUCUCAUGAGCGUACAUUAUUUUGUUAAAAUCACCCCCUACACACUACGAAAAAGUACAUGUGCCUCGUAAUCUUCGAAGGAGAUUCUAAGAUUCUUGUCUAUUUGCUUGUCGUGGGUUCCCAUAAAACCCAGUAAAUCUCUAUUUAAUUGAGUCAUCGUCUUCAUGAACCUCAACGUCAAUAUGAUUAGUUGAGUAACUACGAACUUGAAUUAGAAAAUUCCCAUUCCAAGCCAAGCUUAGACCUCCCCGUGAUCCAGAAGCUGAAACAUCCAGCCUAUUAUGGAACCCACAGCGCUUUCGAACACGUUCUAUUCUGUUGUGUUCCAACUUUGUCUCCAUUAAGAAGACCAUUUAGGGUUUAUAAAGCUUCAACAUGUGGUGAAGCCUCCUGAUAGCCCGGGGAUUCCCCAAUCCCCAGACAUUCCAGUAUAAGAGUUUCAUUGUUUCCGGUCGGCUUGCCAUUUGGCAGCCGCCGAUAUAAUUUGUGAAGGGUCACUAACAUCUGUUGAAGUAAAGCAUGAAAGCUCAGUUGUUGCAAAAUCUGCCGAACAUAUGCUGUCAAAUUUUGCCCUUUUUGUUUUAACAUCAUCCGAAAGGUAUGCUUCAAUAUUAUCUAAUUUCUCCUCAUUAAAUUUUCGCUUCCCCAUUAUCGUCCCAGCCAUGUUUGUAUCAAAAGAUUCUUUACUAGAAAAGUGCCUCCAGCUAUUUUUCUUUUGACUCAAUUGUUGGGCCUCAAUCAGUUCAAUUUGCCUGUUUGAUUCAGAAUUUUCGUUUGACCUAUUCCCCUCACGACAGUGAUCCAUACUAGAGUUUUCUUCCACUUCUCUCGACAUAUUAUGAGGAUAAGAACUUGUUUCAUUUUCCCUAAAUUUUUGCCGCAAAAUCCCUAUUUCCCUAAGAUUAGAGAACUUCUUUAAACCAACUUCUUUCGCCGUUCGAUGCAUCUAUUGCACAGAAUCUAUUAAAACAUCAUCAACUUUACCCGCUACCUCCUCACCGAUGUAGUAACAUUGUUUUAUUAUUUUCUUCUGCAACGAACCAAGCAGUAAGCUCUUCCUACCUAAUGCUGACGAUUCUGCCUUAAGUGCUACUGAGUAAGGAAGUUCAUCCUCCGCCUUACCGCGAUCCCCCUCCAAUAACAUUAGACAAUCUUUAAUCCCGUGACCCAUGUGACCACAUCCAAAGCAAAACGUUGGGAGACACUCAUAUUUGAAAGGAAACCAGACUUUUUCUUGGCCAUUUAGAGAGACAAAAAUCCCUUUUCUAAGCGGUUUUUGAACAUCUAGAUAACUCUAAUACGACAAAAAUCACCUUUGAUCUCAGAAUGAAUAAUUCCACCAAACGUGGACCCCACAACAUGCAUCAGAUCCUUUCUAUCACACUCCGGUAGGCAUGGGCCGACCUUUAGCCAAAACGGAGAAGAAACCAGACGAAUCUUGUUCCGCUCAACUGAUUUUUUUAAACGAUCAAAAAUAAUUAAUUGCUUGUGAAAAAACCAUGGCCGCCCGUUCAUGAUCUGCUCCAAGUCUUCCUCAUCUUCGAAUAUUAUCUUGAAUAGAUUUUGACCUGCAAUCAUAAUCUCGAACUUCUUUUUGGUUUUCCAGAUACUUCUCACUUGUGCUCUCAGGCUAUCCGGGUUGUAAUUUUUCCUCUUCCAAACAGAACAAAUCAGUGUUGGCUUUUCAGACGGAUCUACAACAGAGCUUUUUACUGAUAAAUGGAUCAACUCUUCUUCAAGAAAGGCUAUCUCCUUCCUGUCGUCCUUUGCCCCCAAGUCACUCCUCAACACCUUCCUGUCGUCCAUAACCCCGAAAGUCACCACUUCUCUUCUUUUCGACCCCAGAAAACACUAUUUCUUCAGGAGACCCAAGAGAGCACUCUUGACCUAAGCGGUGGCUAGCUGUAUUAAUAUAUAUUUUAUAGUGAAUUAAAAAUAUAUACAUAAAAUUAUGCACACCACACAGGAUAUUAGAAACUAGUAUUAUUAUUCUGAAAAAAAAACGAGAAACUAAUAUUAUUGAAGUGCUAGAAUAGCCUAAGUCCAUAUGAUAGUAGAUGGGCAGAGGCCAAGACAAGAGGUUUUAAACCCACUUCCCUAAAUAUCAAAAUAAAAUUCUGUACUGGAUCUAAAGCAGAAGUGGUAAAGGUCACCUUUCACUUAAGCCUCAGUCAUUAGUGUGUAGAUCUCUUUUACCUAUCGAUUCCCCAUUAAUAAAAGUUACAACAAAAGGAGGUAAAAGAAAACCAUUUAAUCGCAACAAAAAAAAAAAGAGCACAAGCUCCCUGAGUUGCAUACUAUUCAUGUGAGGUUUGGCCUCACCAACCUCAACAUCAGACCGGAUUUCAAACGUUGCAUAGUCAAGACAGUGUAUUUGAUUUUGCAUUGAUUUUAUCUGACGCAUACGGUUUCAUUAAUAAAUUGAUGUAAUUAUUAUUUUACAUAGAUUUAUCUCAGUUCACUUAAUUUUAGUCACAUCGAUUUAAACAUAGUGCAAUAAUGCAUAAAUAAUAUUAAAAUUAUUUUUUAAAAAUUUAUAUUUUGUAUCAUUAUAGUAUUAAAGAAUUUAAAUUUUUAUCAAAACAUUGUGAAUCAGCUACUACAUAAAUAUUUUAUUUGUGAAAUCUAUUUAACAUCAUUCCUUUGCUAUCUAUAAAU
rnacentral:lncRNA from 1 species